rnacentral:ncRNA from 1 species
AAAGAUAGAGGUGCAUCGUCUCAUCAGUAUCUGCGGCAUUGAAGCCGGUCGUGCAGGAUCGGGUUGCGGAGAAAGGGAGCGUUGCCGAAAGGAGCCGAGGCGAAGGCUUUCUUGGGCGUACGGAAUAAGAUCCGUGCGACUGUCGCAAUUUGCGGAGUGCUAUUAU